rnacentral:lncRNA from 10 species
GGAUUACCUCUGUGGUGGCUGCAUUCUCAGGCUCCAUGGGUUGGCAAGUCCUAGGCAUUAUGUAAAGGCCGACAGCCAGGUGUGGGCCAGCUCCAACUGGGGCGACUUGUGGAGGGUGGUUCCUGGGACAACGCCCAUGCCGUGAUCAGGAACGGGGUCAGCAGGAGUCAGGUGGGGAAGUGCCAGGUGUCCACUGCCACGACCAACACGUUACUCACACUCACGGCACAAGAAUGGCCUCUGUACCCUGUGUGUAGGCAUAUCCAGGCACAGUCGCUUGUAUGUCUGAGACCUCAAGCUGGAGAGUGCUGAUGGCCAACAUGCUGGUCACCUCUCCACAGUCCUUCCUCCUCCUGGACAACACCCCUGCUCUCUCUGGAUGGUCCUGAGCUAAGCCCGGAAGAACUUUCCAGGCCCAGGUUCCCCAUGCGGGGCUGCCUGAGCACCCCCACCCUAUGGCCAGCCCUGCUGCCCUGGCUUCCACCUCCAGAUCCUUCCUGCCAUGUCCCCCUCCAAUCAGAGCCGACCCACACUGUGUCCCUCCCAGUGGCUCUACUGCCUACUGAACACGUGCACCAUCACCGCCGUGGGGCCCACAGAGUCAAGGCUAUAAAGAGGGACUGAGAACACCGUGACGCCCUGGCCUGCGCACCCUCCUCUGCUCCAUCUGGGUCUGUCCGGAUGGCAGAGGCUCAGAGGGUCUGCCCCUACCAGAUGGUGGAGGCUCAGAAUGUCUGAGCCAGAAAAAGCAUGAAAGAAAACUUAGCCUUCCUCCUCCCAGUUAACAGGCUGGGUCCUGAGGGCACAGUGUCCAGCACGGAGGACACACAGUAAAUAUUCCCAGAAGGAGUGAUGGGUGAACGAAUAAAUAGAAUCUCACCCUGCCACCAUGAUUAAAUUCAGCCCCAAACUUACCUGUCCCAUUGUUUCCAUAUCCUGCCACCUCUGAGGCCUAAUCUGAAGAACUGAUUUGUGCCAGUGGACGAGCACUAUUUCUCUAGGUGAGACAUGCAGGUGUCAACAGGAAAUGUCCUGAGAUGUAAUUCUUCAACCCAGGAAGCCACUCCAAUCAAGAGAACAUAAAGCAAUGGUGAUGGGAUGUGGGGGUUCCAUGGGGCUUGGAUGCCCUGAGGAGGGCCUCAAAUCACAGAAUGAUGAAGGUCUUCUGGAUGCAGUGGCAGGGCAGGAGAGGUAUUGCCCUGGGACUCGAGAUGGGACCACAGCCAAUUGCUCACUCAGCCAUGGCCUGUGGGUCUGACACUGGGACCUCACUAACCCUCUUUUAACACUCCUAUCUGUAAGUAGGGAUCAUGACCCACACUUUGCAGGGGUUCUGAUGCUGCAAAAUUCUGGCGCUUUCUACAUGAUAAGGUCUUUGCUCACCAAAUGGAAGAGACUGCGUGCAGGUAGCAUGGGCCUGCCUACUGCAGGUGGGGUGCUUUGGGCUGCAAGUAACAGAAAAUCCAACUCAAAGUGAAUUGUGUGAUAAAGACAAUGCACCACCUCGCUUAUCAUGGUCUGAGUUCCUCCAUGAGGGUUGCCGCCUGGUGCGUCCUCUGUAAGCUCCCUGAAGCAGGGGCCUAGGCUGACCUUUUUUCUCCACUGCCCCCGAGAGCAUAGACCAGGGCCUGGCACAGAGAAGGCGUCCAGUGAGGAUUCCACCCAGGACACCAUCAAACCCUCAUCGCUACAUGGUCUAUUAAGUUGUGUUCCCCCAACAGCAGUUAAAGAAACCAAAGCUUGGCCAGGCACGGUGGCUCACGCCUGUAAUCCCAGCACUUUGGGAGGCCGAGGUGGGUGGGUCACUUGAGGUCAGGAGUUCGAGACCAGCCUGACCAAUAUGGUGAAAUCCCAUCUCUACUAAAAAUAAGAAUACAAAAAUUAGCUGGGCGUGGUGGCAUGUGCCUGUAGUCUCAGCUACUCAGGAGGCUGAGACAGGAGAAUUGCUUGAACCUGGGAGGCGGAGGUUGCAGUGAGCCAAGAUUGCGCCAUUGCACUCCAACCUGGGCAAUGAGAGUGAAACUCCGUCUAAAAAAAAAAAAAAGAAGAAGAAGAAAGAAACUAGAAACUAAAGCUAAGGGAAGAUAAAUUACCUGCAUGACAUAUUGAAGCACACAGAGGACAGUCCUGGCAUUCCCUACUCUGGGCUCUGGCCAUAACCCUGACAACCCUGCUACUCUACUGUCCUCCCUGGCCUCUCUCAGGCCAGUUUGUCCUCAGAUCGGGCAGUGUGGGAGUUGACAAACCAGUCAACCCAGACUCAGAUGACGCAGAAGUCUGCCCAACACAGAAGUCCACCAACCAUUGCAUUGUGAUCAUUGCACCGAGGACAUAAAUUCAGCAACAUGUGCUGGGUCAGCUGCCUCGUUUUUCUCCAAAGUAGCAAAUUUAUGGGGCACACGUGCACAUGGGUGAUUAUUUCCCAAUAGUUUAUAGUAUCAAGCCUCCUUUCUUUCCUCCCAAUAAAUCUAAUUUAUAUGGAUUGGCAGAUCAAACAGUGCAUUUCCUGGCAUCGAGAGGCUGUGAGUCACUCACAGUGCUUUAGGAAACUUGGGGAGAUUAAGGUUUUGCAUAAUGCAAAUGCGGAUGGAAACAUAUUUGGACUGCCUCGCUGUGGAUGCAAUUAGAGCAAUGAGCACCAGGAGAAAUACUUUUUCCCAGGACACAGCAAGGUCUGCUUGGUAUGCAAAGAGCACAGUUAUUUGCGACACCAGAGCCUGGAACGUGGUGAGCAAAGCACCCAGUGACGGUUUGAUUUGCAGCUUUAAGGAAUUCAAAGAUGAAUAAAACAUUAAAUUAAUUGCCAAAGAACUGUUGCCAAGCCUGCAUGAGAUCUAAUGAAGGCACACAUGCAAAAAACCAACACACACAGAACAACAAACCAAAACUGGGCCUGCGGGAUGCUACCUGCCCCAAGCCCCCGAAACCACAUUUGGUUUUGAGUAUUUUGUCCUACUUGGAAUUUUCUCUCAUCAAUACUCAUCUCAAGUCCUCUCAGCCACGAAAGCUCUCUCCGCUUCCCCCAGCCCACAGGACGCUCCUUCGACUGUUUCCUUGUUCACUGGGGAAAUGUUGACUGAGCACCUGCUAUGUGUCAGGCACUGCUUUCCCAGACGCUGGGGAAACAGCACUGAACGAACCAGGCCACAAUCCCUGCCCUGGUGGCUGCCUUCCUGCGGGGAGUAUGAUAAUAAGCAAAAUAGAGAAAUUAAUAUAUUGGAAAGUGCUCAGUGCUACGGAGAAAACAAAGAUGAAGUGGGGAUAGGAAAUGCCGGGAGGUAGGGUCAAUCGCAGAUUGAGGCAAAGGGGUCAGGGAGGUCCCAAGAUGGGGGACAUUUGUACAGAUCCCUGAAGGAGGUGAGGGUGGUGACUACGAGGAAUGUCAGGCAGAGGGAAUAGCAAGGGGAGAGGCCCGGAGUGGAGGUUCCCGAGUGUUUGAGAACCUGUGGAAGCUGGUGUGGCCGAGUAAGUUAGGGGGAGAGUGAUGGUGAUGCACCCAGACAAGGAGCAGGACCAAGGUCACAUAAAGUCAAUGCAUUAAUUCACCUUUCAAUUCAUUCAUUCACUUACUCAACGAAUCUUUUGAGGCUCUACUGUGAGCCAGGACCUGCUAUUUUAGAUCCUGAAAAUCCAACAUUAGACGUGACAGGCAAGGUCCCAGCUCUCACGGGGCUGUGUAAUGGUGGCUGAUCCGGGAGCAGGAGGGAAGUUACUUUGUUGAGGUGAGUGGGGAAGCCCAAUCGCCACUCGCCUCUAGGUCCACAAUCCCAGCAGAAUUCCCUCUUUUGUUUGCUCUUAGGUGAUUCUUGUCUUCCCCAUAAGCCCAUUUAGCAGAUGAGAAAACUAAGGUUCCUUUGGAAUGGAAGUCCUGGCUUCUCUCCAUAAAGUCUGGAAAUUAGAGGGAGUAGAAUUAACUCCCUUUUCCUUUGCACAGGGCCAGCAUGAGGCUUUGGGGAGGUUCUGAGGCAGGAGACAUCCUACGUCAUCUCCACAGGUCAUGAACCCUAUAGCAUCUCCCACCAAGAGGGUCACGGACCCUACAGCAUCUCCCACCAGGAGGGCCAUGACCAGCCUCUGGGGCUGUGCUGCUGCAUGCCAAGGAGUAGCUGAAUCCUAGGAGUGGAGAAUCCCCAGCCUGGAAGGGGACCCCCUCCACCGACUGCCAUCACUCUGGGGCUCUCUGGCUUGAGGGCUCUCUGGGGCCACGAGGCCAGGCCUCCUCUCCACGUCCAAACAGGCUGGCUGGGUGCAAAAUGCCAUGGUGCUUGCUCUGGAUGGGCUGGAGUUUUCCCUAUUCAGGGGCCAGGGCAAUGGGUGGAGGGCCUGGGUAGAGAGGCAGAGCACGGUUGCGUCCAGGCUGUGCCACCCUGACCCUGAACUCAGGCCCACAGGAGGCUCCAGGCAACAGCUGCUCUCUCCUCUGCUGGGGCCUCCUGCCUGGAAAGCCUGCUCCCACCCACAAUGCCUAGAUUCCUCCCUCCAAGCAGCCUUAGAGACCCCUUUGGGAUCCAGAUCUGCUCUGCUCCUCACCCUGGGGAUCUGGGUGUCACUUUAAAUAAAGGGACCGCUCGUGCUCACCAGGCUGCGGGAUAUUCAGAGGCUGGGCUGGCAGUUCCCAUCCCGUGGUCGCAGAGUGCUAUGGAGGGGAGAUAAUAGGUGUGAUUUCUGUGCAGAGGAUGGACAGGGCUCCAGGGACAGAGGAUGCAGGAGUGACAGGCAUCAUCAGAUACCAUUUGUCCAGCAGCCGCUCCAGCCACCUGGUGUGGAUGUGGCCUCGUGUCCAUACUCUCCAGAGCACCCGGCUUAGUGGCUAUCUGCCUGGCUGUCUCUCCCAUUUUCAUGUGAAAGGGGGCCAGGCAGGACAUGGGGUCUGGGGACUGCCAUCUCCUCCUGGGGGCUGCACUGUGCUGACAGUCUUGUGUCCCCCUGACAGGGGCUGCACAGACGGGCCAGGCAGAAGUGAAGGAGAAGAAGGAAGCCAACAGAAGAACAUCGGGAGGGGUGAGGAGAGAAGGCCCAGGAGGAGGGGCGUCCUUCCCAGGCAGCUGUCACAGGCCCCUAGCUGAGCUCUCAUGGCAGACACAGCCCAGGACACUCAGACCCAGAGUGACUACGAGCCCCGGCAAGACGUGGAGGAGCAGAGUUACAACCCGUCAAGAGCCUGAUUUCAGGUUGAAACCAGGCUUCACCAUGCAGCAGCUGUGUGGCCUCAGGGAAGUUACUGAACCCCUCUGAGCCUCCCAUGGAAAAUAAGGAUGAUGGUUCCCCUCACAGGGUUGUCGGGAGGAUUCAGUGUCCUCCUUCAGGUCUUGACUCGGAUGUUGCCUCUGAGUGAGGGCGUCUUUGGCCACCCCAUUUAAAGUGCCAACCCUGACACUUCCUCCCUCCUUUCCCCUCUGUCCUCUUCCUGGCUCUUAUCACCAUCAGACAAACCAAGUUUUCACUUCUUGAUCAUUGUCCAGCCCCUGCUGUGAAAUGUGAAGUCCUAAGACACAGGCUUUUUUUGUUUGUUACGUUCAUUGCUUUAGAAGGAAUUAAGGACAAGCUACCCCAAAUGACGUCACUUUGGUAUAUGGAUUAUUUUGAGCUGCAGGCACUGGAGAAACAGCAGGUGCAGGCAGGGCCUUCGGACCUCCCCUUUUCUAACCAAGAACAGGCCAUGACAUUUCCCACGAGAUACACACUCCCUUUGUACCAGGAAGAGAACAUCCUUAUCACCAAACACUGGGAGUGGAUGCCGAGGUGCAUCUGCACAAACACACUUAAUAAAAUAACCCUUUGCUUCCACCAGUUUUACUCGUUUCUCCCCCACGAAUCUUCCAGUUCCUCCCCCACGAUUUACUGCCCCCAGUCCAAACCUUUUUGUCUCAUCAUUUCUUCACA